rnacentral:rRNA from 1 species
AUAAGGUUAAGUUAAUAAGAGCGCACGGUGGAUGCCUUGGCACUAGGAGCCGACGAAGGACGUGACAAACGACGAUAUGCCUUGGGUAGCUGUAAGUAAGCGAUGAUCCAGGGAUUUCCGAAUGGGGGAACCCAACAGGUAAUACCUGUUACCUACAUCUGUUAAGGAUGUGAGGAGGAAGACGCAGUGAA